rnacentral:sRNA from 2 species
ACCUCUCCCCAUAAUUUACUACACUCCUUGGCCUGGCUGUCCUCGCUUGCUGUCCGCCUUUCUUCGGAGCCAACAAACUCAAGUUUCCGUCGUCGUUCAUUCUCCCCACUCUUGUCCUGCCUGUUGGUCCCAUCAACUCCCUCCCAGCAACUCUCCAGGACUCCCGGACAAGGCUCACCUUCUCCGUUGACUGCUCUCCAGGAUAAGUUACCGGAACUCCAAAUUUCCGGUAUUUAGUUAUUGGUUCAUAUUGAAUGUCUUGUCCCACGAAACUUUAGCAGACUUCUCCCCACUUGUUGUACGGGUAUUAUGUCCAAGCUGGAAUUUCAGCAACCGAAGCACCAGCACCCGAAGCACCAGCACCGACAGAGCUCCUGUUCAGAUGCACGUAUACAAUAAUACAGCCUAGGAUUUGUCGUGUGAUUAGGGACAACUUUCGUCGGUCGUCAUCACCAGCUGGAUUCGCCUUUCAUCUUCAGCCACCGUAUAAAUUGGUUGAGCCUCGUGCUCCUUGUUCACCUCGGCUCGACUCGACCUGUGGUAAACUUGUGCGGAUUGGAGAUCUUAAAUAUUUUCGCGGCCACUCAUAAUCUGAAUUAGGGAAUUCAAAGUUCGCAUUCCACACUCUCUUUUCGCAUGGCCAGGUUUUCUACGGGACUAUUCUGGACGAAGUAACGCUACAAUCAAAUUUAGUCAUUAACUACCAUACAUUUUCCCUCUAUCAUCUUGCUUCCACCCAUGAAUAGCGAUUCUGUUGUUGACCUUACUACCUCUUCGCCGCCACCUUUCGCGGAUCAAAACUCGUCGAGCAUGUAUGUUUUUCGGGCGAGGAGCCCACGAUCAUUCGCUGUCAUGGAAGGAUGCCCAUCCCCUAAAAGACGACGAGUUGACACUUCUUCUGUCGCCGGGCCCUCGGCGCACCAAACACGGCAUCACAACCAGGUCAGCAGUUUAGAUAACGAUACAGACAUCGAGUCGAUCGAUCUCACGGAGGUAAACGACAAGGUAUCUCUAGCUAAGGUUCUUUCGAAACAACGCGAAGAUGCCGUAAAGGCUCAAAAUACAGUUGUUGGUGCUGUGGGCCGAUCAACGCUGAUAGCGUACAAGUGUCCUGUUUGUAUGGAUACUUGUGUUGACGCCACAUCUACCAUUUGUGGCCAUCUCUUCUGUCACAAAUGCAUCACCGACACCCUUCGAUUUGGCGAAGAAAGAAGUGCGCACGACGGCCAUGGUAAGGCACCUCGUGGCAGGUGCCCUGUCUGUCGUCAAACACUUUCGCGCGUAGAUACUUAUGGACCGAAACGAAACCUUGUUCCUCUCCAAUUAAAUCUUUUAACAAGAAAGGAUCUAAAAUCCGAUAGUGGAACAUUCUAGUAUUUUAGUUUCAUAGCGUAGCGGGACACAGGAUUGGAUUCCUGGCGUUUGCAUGAUGUGACGGAGUUUUAAAUCUGGAUAUUCGGGAACACAGGAUACAAAGGGACUUGUAUGGUUUUACUGCUUCUUGCAUUGCAUUGUUUGUUUUCAAGGCAUCAGAUUUGUUUCGGAAGAUAUCCGGCGUGUUGUUCUAACACCGUUUUAACAGGCUUAUCGAUGGUUAUCUUCUCUUUCACUUCGUGAUCCAUAGAGCAUAUAAACAGCCACACAGGUGAUUGUGCCAUCGACAGUAUCUGUUAAAUAAAGAAAAUUAUACUCGUUUGUGUAUGUAUCUUUACCGAAUUGACUGUUUUACAAAGCGCCACUGCUUCCCUUAGGCCCAACGCUGCCGACCCCUCCCAAUGGCUCCAAUGUAUUCCGCCUACUCCUCGCCGCGGCUAGCCCGCCUCUAACAAUCGCAUCGCCUUUUUUACCCAGCACAACUUCCAACGCCUGUGUAAGUGCCGUUGGGUCAUACCGCAUCCCAACCACCACACCCGAUUCAUUCUCCACCUUCCUCCCAUACAAUCGCACACAUUCAAUCCCCAUCCCAGCCAAACGUUCGCGGUCUACAGGUGGCGUUCCAGGGCCCUCCAGAUGCAAGAUGUGAGUAACGUAUGACGUAUACGGCAGCGAAACAGCUGGCCGGGUUUCCGUGGAACUCUCAGACGUUUUAUCUUCGUUCAAACGUGUUAAAUGAUGGUACUUGAGGCCCCGACUUUCCUCGCCAGCACGGACAAUGGCUUCGAUAAAAUCUGCUGCGGUGAAGGGCUGUCUUGCCGGCCCUGUCUCGCGGUCUAUGGACCCGUUCAAUAUCAGGAUCUUCUGCCGGGCACCGCUGUUAUAAAUAGCUUUUCCCACACCCUUGAGGAUUAUGCAAGGUAUUAUAGACGUGUAGAGUGAGCCGAUACUGUAUAUUAUGGCCUGUGAUGAAUACAACGCAUCUAGAACACGGGGGUUGGCUGGGGGUCUGAUCUCUUGACCAUAGGGGUUUAUGUACCAAAGCCGAGAGAUGCGGCAGGGGAGAUCUUCUGUCCCGGUUUUGCUGAAGGUUACGUUCUUGUUGCGCAGUGUUGGAAGAGAGCCUGGGAGGUGGCUUUCAUUGUAUGGGAGGUCAUCAGAAUCAGAGCAAGCGUCGUCGCCAUCGGCAAGGAGGAGGCUGGGCCUUCUGAGUGAUGGGAUUGGCUGGAUAGCUGUUGCUUCACUUGGAUGGGAAAUGCUGUUCUGGCCGACGAUGACUGAGCCAUCAACUAGAGAGGCCGAUAUGUGGUGGGAAAACGUGGAGUUUAUAGCGGGGAUUACACGGACAUCGUCUGUGGGGACUGAGCAGAUGCUGCCCAGCAGGUAUAUGGCACUCUCGAGACUGCCACUGAAGAGGCGUGCGCCUGUCAAAAACAGAUUGCCUACACUAGCAGAGGUGAAGUCAAAUGUUGAAGACGGCGGUCUUGCACGCUUAAGGAUUUCCAGGUUGAGGAGAUUCAAAAAGGAGCGGAUCAGUUCCCUCUUUGCCGGGGAUAUAGCUUCCCACAAGGGCGACGUCCCCUCGACUAUGGAAUACCAUUCAGCAUGCGCUGUGCUCGCUGAUGGGGCUAAACGAUGGUUGAAGAACGUUUUAAGCGCUGCCCGCUCAGAGUGUGGAGGGCAUUCAGGAAUCAGACGGACGAGCCUACCUAUCAAGUUUUAUAUUAGGCGUGGGCUUUUAAAAGAUACCUUGGGAUAUGGGCUGUACAGAUACGUACGACUGCCAUCCUAGAAUCGUAGUUACAGAACAAAAGACGACAUGUAUAAAGUAACUUACUCCGUACAUCACCAAUUCCAGGCCCACCAAACACCCGAAUCAACUCGGAAGAAGAACCGCCAUUAUCACUAAUGGGAAUUAUAUAGCUGAGAGGACACUCCUUGCUUUGGCGGACCGCACCGAAUACAUCUACAAGGCUAUUCGCUGCGCUUCCGCCAGAAAAUACAACGAUUCCCCUGGGUGUGACCAUCGGCCCAAUGCGCGCCGGAAUGAUGAAGCUCAAAUAUCAACAAGCGGAAGGAAGAAAAUCAAUGAUGGCAGCACGUUGCACUUAAAAAAACAAAGUCCAAAGGAGCAAAGAACACCAUGUGAAAACUCCGAGACAAAAUCGAGUUCAGCUUUAAGUUGUUAGGCUUGUUUCAUUUGAGCCGAAGGAUCCAUUUGAAGCAUUGAACUCUAGCCGGGAUACGUGCGUGCCGCCGGAAGCUAACCUUGGAAACAAGAAAAUACGGCAUACGGGGAACGAGAAAUACGACAAACUGAAAGAUCUACUGUGUAUGUUAUUCUAUAAAGACGCUUUAGAAUUAUGUGCUGGGUAUCGAUUUUGUACACCUUCACUUUGUACUAGACUUUAUCAAUAUAAACAUCUGCACGAACGCACGCAUCUGAAUGUAUUUAACCCAAGAAUCCCAUAUGUAGCCAAAUAUUUUGUGCAAUAAAAUCAUUCGGGGUAUCUAAUUAAGCAUAUGCUGCCCAAC